rnacentral:sRNA from 1 species
CUGAGAGCCCGGGAGACUGAAAUAGUCUAUCUCCAGAACCAGAAUGAUAAGGGUACAGCAAUGCAAGCUUCUCUCCCCCCACUCCGCCAACGUGCCUAUCUCCUGCCUUGGAGGGACCAUCACUAGUGGUGAGAGGGCACUUGAAUCUCCAUCGCCCAUUCAAUCUUCACCUCUC